rnacentral:rRNA from 1 species
GAGUUUGAUCGUGGCUCAGAUUGAACGCUGGCGGCAUGCCUUACACAUGCAAGUCGAACGGCAGCACGGGAGCUUGCUCCUGGUGGCGAGUGGCGAACGGGUGAGUAAUGCAUCGGAACGUAGUCCUGGAGUGGGGGAUAACGUAGCGAAAGUUACGCUAAUACCGCAUAUUCUGUGAGGCAGGAAAGCGGGGGACCUUCGGGCCUCGCGCUCUUGGAGCGGCCGAUGUCGGAUUAGCUAGUUGGUGAGGUAAAGGCUCACCAAGGCGACGAUCCGUAGCAGGUCUGAGAGGAUGAUCUGCCAC